rnacentral:rRNA from 1 species
UGGCGACCGGCGCACGGGUGAGUAACACGUAUCCAACCUGCCGAUGACUCGGGGAUAGCCUUUCGAAAGAAAGAUUAAUACCCGAUGGCAUAGUUCUUCCGCAUGGUGGAACUAUUAAAGAAUUUCGGUUAUCGAUGGGGAUGCGUUCCAUUAGUUUGUUGGCGGGGUAACGGCCCACCAAGACUACGAUGGAUAGGGGUUCUGAGAGGAAGGUCCCCCACAUUGGAACUGAGACACGGUCCAAACUCCUACGGGAGGCAGCAUG